rnacentral:lncRNA from 1 species
AAUUGACAAUAUUCCAAGGGAUAAUUAUUCCUCCGAAUGAGAAAGGGGAGUAUUUAAAUAAAAUCUUAAAACCUACCAUAUUAUACUGCUUAUUUAUACGGAUUUUGUAGGUUUAGUUAACGAAGCUUUCCCUGUUAAUCAAGACCAAGCAAUACUUUUUUUUAAAUGCAUCACUUAAUUAGCAUGAAUUUGUUACAAUAUUAGACUUAUGGGCUUAUAUUCAACCAAAUCAGAGAGGGUUGAAGAUGAUUAUCAUAGUACGUACUAAACAUAACAAUAACGAUCCAAACAUAUAAAUUUUUUAGAAUUUAAUUUUUGUAUAAUAUAAUGUAUUGUGGCAAAAUGUGA